CCUACGGGAGGCAGCAGUGGGGAAUUUUGGACAAUGGGCGCAAGCCUGAUCCAGCCAUGCCGCGUGAGUGAAGAAGGCCUUCGGGUUGUAAAGCUCUUUCGGCCGGGAAGAAAUCGCAUUGGUUAAUACCUGGUGUGGAUGACGGUACCGGAAUAAGAAGCACCGGCUAACUACGUGC
rnacentral:rRNA from 1 species